rnacentral:snoRNA from 12 species
CUUCCUCAGCCUUACUCCAGGGGCUUUCUGCCCGUAGAGUGCCCUGGCAUUGCCUGAGGAGACAGCGAGAGCACGUUUCCCUCCCCAGGAAGACACUGUUCUGUGGGGCCUAAAACGAGCUGACAGG